rnacentral:rRNA from 1 species
UACGAAGGGGGCGAGCGUUGUUCGGAUUUACUGGGCGUAAAGGGCGCGCAGGCGGCUCAUUUUGUCAGGCGUGAAAGCCCCGGGCUUAACCUGGGAACUGCGCUUGUAACUGGCAAGCUAGAGUGUGGCAGAGGGGGGUGGAAUUCCAGGUGUAGCAGUGAAAUGCGUAGAGAUCUGGAGGAACACCGAUGGCGAAGGCAGCCCCCUGGGCUAACACUGACGCUGCGACGCGAAAGCGUGGGGAGCGAACAGG